rnacentral:rRNA from 1 species
UUUGCUUACGGGAGGCAGCAGUGAGGAAUAUUGGUCAAUGGGCGGAAGCCUUAACCAGCCAAGUCGCGUGAGGGAAUAAGGCCCUACGGGUCGUAAACCUCUUUUGCCGGGGAGCAAGGGCGGGGACGUGUCCCGGCCCGGAGAGUACCCGGAGAAAAAGCAUCGGCUAACUCCGUGCCAGCAGCCGCGGUAAUACGGAGGAUGCGAGCGUUAUCCGGAUUUAUUGGGUUUAAAGGGUGCGUAGGCGGGCUUUUAAGUCAGCGGUAAAAAUUCGGGGCUCAACCCCGUCCGGUAGU